rnacentral:rRNA from 1 species
GAUGAACGCUGGCGGCGUGCCUAAUACAUGCAAGUCGAGCGAACAGACGAGGAGCUUGCUCCUCUGACGUUAGCGGCGGACGGGUGAGUAACACGUGGAUAACCUACCUAUAAGACUGGGAUAACUUCGGGAAACCGGAGCUAAUACCGGAUAAUAUAUUGAACCGCAUGGUUCAAUAGUGAAAGACGGUUUUGCUGUCACUUAUAGAUGGAUCCGCGCCGCAUUAGCUAGUUGGUAAGGUAACGGCUUACCAAGGCAACGAUGCGUAGCCGACCUGAGAGGGUGAUCGGCCGCACUGGAACUGAGACACGGUCCAGACUCCUGCGGGAGGCAGCAGUAGGGAAUCUUCCGCAAUGGGCGAAAGCCUGACGGAGCAACGCCGCGUGAGUGAUGAAGGUCUUCGGAUCGUAAAACUCUGUUAUUAGGGAAGAACAAAUGUGUAAGUAACUAUGCACGUCUUGACGGUACCUAAUCAGAAAGCCACGGCUAACUACGUG